AUGGUCACAAACCUCAUAGGCCAAACACGUGAGAAAGGAAAAGUACAUGAGCAACUGUUUCCUGUCACAAACCUUAUCUACUUAUCGUGAAGGCACAAUGUAUGAAGCGCUGAGGCUAAUUAAGAUCGUUGUUGGUGUUAUGUCUUUGGUCCUGAGUAUUUUAGCCUGCUGCAGCAAAUGUGCAGAAGAUGAAAGUGAUCAACCUGAGAGAGAAGAUAGAGAGAGAGCAGCAUUACAAAGACAGCAGAUAGUGUAGCGGCUCUUCCUCCGUCUGCUCUGGAUGUGGGAUUCACACAUUUGAGGACCAUCAGCUGGUACCAGUGUUUCCCUUCAAUCAACAGAUGUCGACACAGCAACCAGCACGCCUCUCAGAAUGCCGCCCAAACAGUGGGAUGUAUUUUAUAUGAUAUUAUCUGCAACUUAACACAACAAUCUGUAAACCAACAACAGCAAAAAAUAAAAAUAAAAAACUCUUCUGAAAAUCAGUCAUCAUUUUUCUGUGGUUAAACAGCAUUCAUCUGUAAAAUAAUUACAUAAUUUGAGGAUUCAGAUAGAAUAAAAAUGGUGCUAUUUUACAGUCAAAUGUCAAAGAACAAAUUACCCCUUAUAAAAAUAAAGAUUUUG